UGCAUGAAUAGGAGUAUUCACAGAUAAUUGGCAGUCGUGUCUGGCCAAAUAUCCAGCUUUGUGGUGUGCAAAAACAUAGCUUGCAUGUCCAAAUUAGCUCAAGAAAUUUCCCGUUUCUGAAAAGGUGGGAAGGCUGCCAGCUCUUUCAAAAGGAAAACACACCCUCUUCGAACAUGAAUCAUCACACAUCACAGAGGUCAUACAAUGAAACUUGAAUAAUUGCCUAUGACCUUCCAAAAUAACCCUUUGUUGUUCAUGAGGCCCAACUCUUGACAACCAAGAUCUGCAUGUUCUUUGUUCUCUCAUGCUCAGAAGAAACAGUAGGAUGUUUACCAAUAACAUCGCUACAGGACAGGGCUUGAGAUAGACUGUAAACAGAGGUGCUAAAUAGACAGAACAGAGGAUUCACCCCUGAUUUCAUAGGACACCCUAGAAGGCUGAACUUAGCUCCUGUGGCUAGUUAUUUGUCGGAUGCUCGACUGGUUGACCUCUCCACCCCUGACCAGCUAUUUAUAGUGUAUCUCCUUUUUUUAAGCAAUAAAGACCUCAUCCAACUAGUCCACAGAAAUGGCAAAAUUGACCCCAGGUGGAUAACACAGAGAAGAGAAGUUGGGACAAGUCGUGAAAUUCCUUUAUGACUUUUCUUCGGUCCAGAAUGAACACUGGCUCAUUUUAGAAGCAGUCACAGAAACCUGCCAGAAGCUGAACCGAAAUCAGAGGCAAUCUGACCUGCCAGCAAUUGCGAGAGGGCACCGCAGCCCUUCUUAUUCAUGCUGCAACGGCGUUGAGCCAAUGUUUUUAUUCUUGUGACUGUCAACAUUCAAAUGCACUCCGACAAGAAGGCAGAUCGAGUUCCGUCACCUGGCAAAAGGAGUGGUUUGGCUGGGCGUGACAUGCUUGUAAUCCCUGCUGUUGGGGAGACCUGGGCUGGUGGAUUGCCCCAACCCAGGAAUUCUGAGCUGCAGUGCAUGAAGCUACUCAGUUUCCUCAUCUAUAAAAAUGAGCUGGAAAAGGAAAUGGAAAACCACUCCAGAAUCUCUGCCAAGAAAAUCUCCAAAUGGAGUCAUGAAGAGUUGGACAGAGCUGAAACAACUGAACAACAACAAAUAAAUUGUCAAUGAAUGGAAAUGGUUAGUCAGUAAUUUUU
rnacentral:lncRNA from 1 species